UCAUUAUGCAAAUAAACUGAUGAAUGUAAAAAUAAUAAGAUGGCCCAGAUGACACAAAUAGGAUUAUUUUAAAACUUAAAUUAUAAUAUUCAAUUAUUUUACUUUCAAAGGCUGCGAAGUAAGUACUUCGAUAUAAUCCAAUGCCGUAAAGCAUACCAAGAAGGAUAUAAAUAUAGAUGAGAAAUCAGUUAAUUAUUAUCUGUUGAGAAUGAAGCUGAAAAGAAUAAAUUAAUAAUUGAUAAGCAUAUGAGCCGUUG